GUGCUUACUUUGGCAGCACAUAUACUAAAAUUGGAAUGAUAUAAAGAAAAUGAGCAUGGUCCCUGCUCAAAGGCAAUAUGCAAAUUUGUUAAAUGUAUUAUUUAUUU